AAGGGGCCUUGCCUACACGCUGUAGGCCCUGCACAGUCUUAGGAAUCGCCAGGAAGAAUGAACAACUGUCUUUGCGUAUUGAGAUGACACCUGCAAGAAGGAGAUGGCAACACCUGGAGGUAUGCGUGGGUCUGCAAAUUUGUGGCUACGACAGGACACCUGGGAUUUUAGGGAAACACUAAGGAGUCAUUGUGGAUCAUGCAAGGGGCAUUGGACCCUACCAGGCUGGACUUUCAGAGGGGCAGGCAUGCUGAGUUUUAGUUUAGAGUGGUUGCACGGGGGCCUCUUCAUCAUGAAUCUGGAAACCCUCUAUCAUUAAGGAUUAGUUCACAGAUUUCCUGAAAGUAAAAGAAAAAUGGAAAAGGACUGGUGCUCUUAGAAGAGGAAGACACCAGAGCUGUCCCUCUCUCGGCUUGCACUAAGGAGGAGGUCACGUGAGCACACAGUGAGAAGGCGGAGGACCAUCUGCAAGCAGGAAGAGAGCCCUCGCUAGAACCCCCCACGGUGGCAUCUGAUAGUGGACUUCUAGCUUCCAGAACUGAACUCAUAAAUGUCACAUCAGGCUGCCUCUUGGUGAAUUUUUAAUCAACGGGGAGAAUUUCAGCUACAAAUAGACCAAGAAUCAAGAGGCCCACUAUUGAUCGGUCAAAGUGGCACUUAUGAACCUGAGGUUGAAGCAGUUUGGAUAAAAGGAUUCUGGGCUUUCGAUGGCCCCAGAGACAUCUUUUUCCAUCAAGUCCAGGCUUGCUGAUCGGUACAGCUGAGAACAUGUUGAAUUUGAUGUGCCUGUGGAUAUUUGAGUCUGGAACAUUGAAGACAAGUUUGGUCUGGAGAUGUAGACUGGGGAUAUCUCAGCACACAGAUGAUAACUGAAAUGAUGGAGCGGAUGAUAUAAACUGGAGAGAGUCUGGUGUGGGAAGAGUCUUCCCUGAGGUGGCCGAAAGAUGUAAUUCUUACUCCAAAGACUGAAAUAGAGACAAGAGAAGCUGAAGUUACAGGGUUUUGUCAUUGGGAAGACAGUAGAGUGUGUCAUAUCCCAAGAGUGAAGCAAGGACAAACCAAAGAACAACUGGGAAGAUCUGGGAGAAAAAGGAAAUGAUGCAACUGAGUCACAGAGAAGUUAAGUAAUCUGCCUGCCGACACUCGGGUCGAUGCCGCCUCAUUCCAUCACUCGGGCAAUGGAGCCAAAGGCCACGUUCACAACCACUAGGCUGUCCCAGCCCCUUGCUUCAAAGAUAGCCAGGCAGGAGUUAUUUUAUAGAAUGGAAGUAAUUUCUACGGGGCCAAGCAAUAAUAAGGAAAUUGGAAGUCAAGGACUAUCUUCCGAAUGGAGAAGAAGCUCCAUCAACCACAGAAGGAAAUUAUGAUCACUCCUGCCAUCCUGCUCCUUUGUGUAUCCAGGAUGAAGGGGAGAAUUGGAGUCUUGCACAAUGAAAGGACAACAUUGCUGCCAAAACAAUCCAUCGUGACUGUAGACAUAUUUUCCACCCUCAUCCUGCAGGUUUUCUGCCAGUUGUUGGCCCCUCACCAAUUUUGCUCCUGGGCAGUCUGAGGUGGAACAUAAUUUUGUAUAAAACAAAUUAUGCUCAACCUCACUUAUAAUCAGGGAAAUGUGAGUCAAAACCACAAUAAAAUAUCACCUCAUGCUGUUUAGGAUUGCUGUUAUCAAGUAGACAAGAAAGAAGUGUUGGUGAGGGUAAGGAGAAAAUAAAAUCUUUGCACACUGUUGGUGGGAAUGUAAGUUGGUAAAGCCACUAUCAAAGGCAAUAUGAAGGAUUCUCAAAAAAUUAAAAAUAAAAUUGCCAAAUGAUCCAUCAAUCCUUCUUCUGGACACAUAAUCAAAGGAAAUGAAAUCAGUAUCUCAAAUAGAUAUUUGCACCCCAUAUCCAUUGCAUCCUUUUUUGUAAUAACCAAGAUAUGGGAGCAAUCGAAGUGUCCAUCAGCAAAUGAAUGGAUAAAGAAAUCAUGGUACACAUAUACAGUGGAAUAUUAUUCAGACAUAAAAAGGAAGGAAAUCCUGUCAUUUCUCAAGACAUUAAUGAACCCAGAGGACAUCAUACUAAGUGAAAUAAGCUAGAUAUAGGAAGACAAAAACCACAUGAUCUCACUUACAUGUGGAAUCUAAAAAAGUCAAACUCAUAGAAGCAGCGAGUAGAAUAGUGGUUGUCAAGGGCUUGGGAUAAUUGAGGAGAUGUUGGUUAAAGGGUACAAACUUUAAGUUAUAAGAUGAACAAGUUCUGGCGCUCUACUAUAUAGUAUGGGUGAUGACGGAUGUGUUAAUUAAUUUGAUUGUGACAUUCAUUACACGAUGCAUAUGUAUAACAAAUCAUCACAUUGUACACCUUGGAUAUAUUCCAUCUUUAUUUAUCAAUUAAAUAUUUCAAAAUGUUUUUAAAAAGGAAGGCAAAAUGGGCCAAAAGGAGUAACUACUUUAUGUAGAGCUGAUGUCCAGGCUAGAAUUUCUAAACUUUUUCUGUAACCUAGAGUCUCUGUUAUACUUUUGACUUACCCAUUAUUCAUAACAGAUCUCAGGAACCCUCAUCACACUGCCUAUUGCUAAAAACUCAAAGGAGUUAUUGUUAUAUGAACAACCCAAGUUAAUGCAGUCAUUAAUGGAAAUACAGAGUCUUGACUGAAAGAGAUCAUUUCUAUUUUUUGUUGCGAUAGUCAGAUCAUAGCCAGUCACAUCUUUUAGGGAGGAUGCAAAUAGGCUGGACUUCCUUCAGCAAACAGGAUGCUGUAGAAUAAAAUAUUCUACAUGAGAAUACUUAAACAAAUUGGAGUGCCUGGUGCCACCAUGUAAAUUGUGAGGUGUCAGACAGGCUGGUCUUUGGAUUAGAGAUUGGACUUACUCUCUGUGGCCCUAUGAGUAGAGCAGGUCGGGGUGGGGCUGGGCAGGGAGGAAGAUCAUCUUAAAGUGAUAGAUGUAGGCUCAGUGUGAGGAAGGAUUUCUAAGAGUUGGAGCUGCUCAGAGGUGAAAUAUCAAGAGAAUGCCCUUCAGGAGCAGUGUCUGAAGACAGACCACAUGGCCAAUAGGGAGAGAUAAGCGGGCUGGGUGGCCCUCAGCGCUUUGCUUCCAGUCUUGGGAGUCUUACUGAAAUAGCUAAUGACCACUCAACCCAAAGAACAGACACAUGUCUGCCAUGUCUCUCCAGGCUCAUCCUGCUUAUUGCAAGUGAGGCCCAAAGGUGGGGCUGUUAUUCCCUGAUGUUUCAGGUCCAUGUGCAACUUAUUCCCAGAUCUUUUCUGAAAAAAAAAGCAGAGAGACUGUUUGCCAGACAGCUGGACCAGAAUGAGGUAAAAGAAGAUAAGGCCCAACCGAGAAGUCAGAAAAGCUUCACUUUUCAUUAGCUCCACAUUCCAAAGUAAGAAAUCAAUGUGCUUAGCUGCAAUUCAAAGCAAUUAGUCUUUGUUCUCACACACUCUCAAAGAACGACUUAAAGAAGCCCAAAUAAAUAUUUUCAGAAAAGAGAGUAAAUUUGUGUUACUUAACCCAAGGAAUGCAAACAAGUGUAAUUAAAGUGAAUACCCAUAAAUAAAGUAAAUACAUUAGUUAGGAAAUGAAUUAAUUAGUGUUUAAUUACUAUCAAUUACUAAAAUCACUACAGAAUUACUUGUAGAAUGGACUGAAUCUCUUGCUCCUAUUAAUAAUUUCCAUUGCUAAUUGUAUGCACUUGUAUUUUCUUUGGGUGCAUCUUAGCAGAGCUAAUAGGAGGAAGCAACAGCACAGUGAACAAUGACAGGGACAUUUUUUUUCUUUGUUCAGUGAAAAACAAAAGGGAUUUGAAAUACAUCUGCCUGGUUUUCAAAAGCCAAUGUGGGUGAGGAAGGGACGCAGGAAGGAAGGUUGUCCUCGUGACACAGGGUGACCCUCGCCAUUCCCUGCUGAGGGGAAGCAGCUGAUGUUUGUGGCAGAGCCCUAAGGUGAGGGUUGUGUGUGUGUGUGUGUGUGUGUGUGUGUGUGUGUGUGUGUGUGUGUGUACAGAGGAGAAAGGUAGGUACUGGGAGGCUCAAUGCCUGAGCUCACUUCCAGCAUGCUCUGUGGAAUGCAUAUGUAGACUGGCAGCCAGGCAUCUCUACCCACUGGUCUUGACAGGUGAGGGAAUAAGUUUUACAUUUACCUGGAGGACAAAGUUCGUCAUUUGCUGCCUUGCAGGUGGAGAGAACACACCUGACAUCAUGCUCCCUAAGAAGCAACACACUAGCUGGUCCUAGAAACAGAUGUAUACAAAUGAGAGGCUGAGGCUAAAGAGUGUCUUUCCUGGGACCCACUCUGCCUGCUCACCAGCAUUCUCAUUUUCCUGUUUACACAACAUCCCCUUACCCCUUCCCUGCCCUCUCCUCCUCUCCCUCAUGGACACAGACUCUCAGGCCAGACCGCCUAGGUUUGAUUCCAAGCUUCCUCACCUGAAAGACCUUGGGCAAAUUACUUAACCUCUGUGAGUCUCAAUUUCCUCACCUGUAAAAUGGGGAGAAUGAUAGUACCUACCUCUCUUGGUUCUGGUGAGAGCUCAGAUCAGUGGGUGACACAUAGCAAUCUCUGCUUUACUCAUUUUCUUGGUAUUUCCACCACAUAUUUCUUUGUGGAGUAGUUGAGGGGAUACAUAUGAUGUGGAGAUAAACUAGCUGGGAGGAUGGCAGGAGUGAUUUGGGAGGGAAACGAAGUUGAAGAGGAGGAAUUGGUCCUUAAGUGGUUGUUCUGUUUAUUAGUUAGGGUUCUCCAGAGAAAUGACACCCAUAGGAGAUUUAUUAUGAGGGGUUAGCUCACAUGAUUAUGGAAGUGGAAAAGUCCCAUGAUCUGUUGUCUGCAAACUGGAGGCCCAUGAAAGCCAGUGGUGCAACUCAGUCGAAGCCCAAAGGCCAGGAGUGCCACUGUCGGGGGGGCAGGAUAAGACGGACAUCCCAGCUGAAGGAGAGAGAGAGCAAACUCAUCCUUCUUUUGCUUUUCUGUCCUGUUAAAGCCCUUUAAGGAAUAGAUAAUGCUUGCCUACAUUGGUGGGGGCAGAUCUUCUUUGCUUAGUUUAUUUAUUUAAACGCUAAUCUCUUCUGGAAACACUGUCACAGGUAUACCCAGAGAUAAUGUUUUUCCACCUAUCUUGGCAUUCCUUAGCCUAGUCAAGUUAAUACAUAAGGAAUCAAAAAAAAAAAAAAGUCAAACCCUCAAAAGGAGAGUAAAUGGUGAUCACUAGGGCCUGGGGUUUGGGGAAAAAGGGAAGAGAAGUAGGUUAAAGGGCAAGUACUUUCAGCUAUAAGAUGAAUAAGUUCUGAGGAUCUAAUGUAUAGCUUGUUAACUAUAGUUAACAAUAUGAUACUGUUUAUUUGAAAUUUAUUAAGAGAGUAGCUCCUAAGUGUCCUAUAUGCGUGCACACACACACACAGACACACACACGAUAACUAUGUGUGGUGAUGAAAGUGUUAAUUUGAUUGUGGUAAUAAUUACACAAUGUAUAUGUAUAUCAACUCAUCAUGCUGUACACUUUGAAUAUAUACAAAUUUUAUGUGUCAAAUACACCUCAAUAAAGCUGGAC
rnacentral:lncRNA from 10 species